rnacentral:rRNA from 1 species
UACGAAGGGGGCUAGCGUUGUUCGGAAUCACUGGGCGUAAAGCGCGUUCAGGCGGUUUGGCAAGUCGGGCAUGAAAUCUCUCGGCUCAACCGGGAGAGGUUGUCCGAUACUUCCAGACUUGAGGGCAGUAGAGGGUGGUGGAAUUCCGGGUGUAGUGGUGAAAUGCGUAGAUAUCCGGAGGAACACCAGUGGCGAAAGCGGCCACCUGGACUGCACCUGACGCUGACACGCGAAAGCUAGGGGAGCGAACGGG